AGCCAGGCUUGGUGAUACAGGUCCCAGCUCUUACUGUGCUUAGAUAGGGAGACUAUGAGUCUCGUGAGUUUGAGUCUAGCCUUAGAUGUGGCUUAGUGUGGUGGCUUGAGUAUGCUUGGCCUAGAGGGAGUGGCAUUGUUGAGGGGUGUGGCCUUGUUGGAGGAAGUGUGUCACCGUGGGGGCGGGCUUUCAGAGACCCUCCUCCUAGCAGCUUGCAAGUCAGUUUUCUAGCAGCCCUCAGGUGAAGAUGUAGAACUCUCAGUUCCUCCUGCACCAUGCCUGCCUGGACACUGCUGUGCUUCUGCCUUGAUGAUCGUUAAGCAUGAUGGGAGGUGAGAGAAGACUUCAUUCCAUCUACUAGAACCUAGUCAUGCCCUGCGCUAGCCCUCAUCCCUCUUCCACAGCUCCUCCAGGGAUGGCUGAAGGUCUGGAGGUCUUAGCACAGACCUCGGCUAGAAAGAAGACAAGAUCCACAGUUCCUUAGUGCCCCCUAUGGGUCCAAAGGAUGGAGACACUUGAAAGAGGCUGCCCAAGAAGCCACUUCUCCCAACACCCCGCACACCUCCACCCAGGACAGCCAGGACAUCUCUGGCUCCUACCUCAGAGCCAGAGGGCUCAAACUGAUCCCUAAUUUAAGGUGAAACUUUCUUUCUUUUAA